UAUAUAAAUUCAAACAACAACAACAACUUUCUUCUCCCCAAUUUCCCACUCCUUGAAGGAGCUUUGGUUAACCAGGGAAAUUCACAUGACACUUAAAGCAAGGUCUGAUAAGCACUGGCUGCAAUAUUGUGCCAGGGCAUCUAGUUGGCAUACAGUCAUACCUCGGGUUAAAUAUGCUUCAGGUUGAGCAUUUUCAAGUUACGCUCCGCUCAAAAUGACAUCAUGCGCAGAAGCGGUGAAUCAUAGCACGUGCAGACGCGGAUUGCGUUCGCUUCAGGAUGCGAACAGGGCUCUGGAACGGAUCCCAUUUGCAUCCAGAGGUACCACUGUAUUUAAAUUUCCCAGGCAAUGUUUUUGAUCAUACGCUACUCUCUUAGAUCAUGGUGGGGGAACUUCAGGCCCAGUGGCCAGAUGCAGCCCUCCUAACUUCUGUUCAGCUCCUGAAACACUUCCCCAGGCUACACCCUCUUCCAAGGCUACGCUACCUCCUUCUGCUCUGCACUUUCCUCCACUGCUUUUGCCAGGCUGAGAUGCUGCUGCUUCCUUGCCUGGAUGGAGGGUGAAGAGAUGUGGGUUGGUGUGUAUAGAAACCUCUCACUUCCACAAGUCUGAAAUGAUCUCUGUUGUACAAAGACUCCCAGGAACAAAAUGAUGUCACUUUCUGCUAGUCAUUCUUGAGUGCCUGUAACAAAGUAGGUUCUUUUCUGUUACCUCAUUGUGUUCGGUACAAUCAAAUUAGAAACAAAAUUGUCAAGAGUUGUUGACAUAGUGCCUUUCAUCAGAGAGAUUGCUCAUAUUUUAGCCAUUUGUACCCAAGAAUUACAGCUCUGUAUUGAUGCAUUAUGAAAUUUGCAACUUUUAUGUAAAUAAGUGUUGGAAUUGUAUCUAUGUUUAAAAAUAAUCCAUAAAAUAGAUGGGUGGUUUUGGGUUUGUAAGAGGAUCGGUUUUCCAUUUAAAAAAUAUUGACGCUUUUUCAUAAUACA